GGGGCUAUAGCGCAGUUGGUAGCGCAUCUGCUUUGCAAGCAGAGGGUCGCCGGUUCGAACCCGGCUAACUCCA
rnacentral:tRNA from 1 species